UACGGAGGGGGCUAGCGUUGUUCGGAAUUACUGGGCGUAAAGCGCACGUAGGCGGCUUUGUAAAGUUCGAGGUGAAAGCCCAGGGCUCAACCCUGGAAUUGCCUUUAAGACUGCAUCGCUAGAAUUGUGGAGAGGUAAGUGGAAUUCCGAGUGUAGAGGUGAAAUUCGUAGAUAUUCGGAAGAACACCAGUGGCGAAGGCGACUUACUGGACACAUAUUGACGCUGAGGUGCGAAAGCGUGGGGAGCAAACAGG
rnacentral:rRNA from 1 species